GGCCAGCAGCCGCGGUAAUACGGAGGGUGCAAGCGUUGUCCGGAUUUAUUGGGCGUAAAGGGCGCGUAGGCGGCCAUGUAAGUCGGAUGUGAAAUCCCACGGCUCAACUGUGGAAUUGCGUUCGAAACUGUGUGGCUUGAGUUCGGGAGAGGGAAGUGGAAUUCCCAGUGUAGAGGUGAAAUUCGUAGAUAUUGGGAGGAACACCAGUGGCGAAGGCGGCUUCCUGGACCGAAACUGACGCUGAGGCGCGAAAGCGUGGGUAGCAAACAGGAUUAGAUACCCUGGUAGUCCACGCUGUAAACGAUGGAUACUAGGUGCUGCGGGUAUUGACCCCUGCGGCGCCGGAGCUAACGUAUUAAGUAUCCCGCCUGGGGAGUACGGCCGCAAGGCUAAAACUCAAAGGAAUUGACGGGGGCCCGCACAAGU
rnacentral:rRNA from 1 species